AGUCAACCUACCCUAUGGACGGGGAUAACCUCGGGAAACUGAGAAUAAUACCCGUUAGAACAUUAUGCCUGGAACGGAUUAUGUUUCAAAUAAUUUAUUGCCGUAGGAUGGGACUGCGGCCUAUCAGUUUGUUGGUGAGGUAAUGGCCCACCAAGACUAUUACAGGUACGGGCUCUGAGAGGAGUAGCCCGGAGAUGGGUACUGAGACACGGACCCAGGCCCUAUGGGGCGCAGCAGGCGAGAAAACUUUGCAAUGUGCGAAAGCACGACAAGGUUAAUCCGAGUGGUUUCUGCUAAAGGAACCUUUUGUCAGUCCUAGAAACACUGGUGAAUAAGGGGUGGGCAAGUUCUGGUGUCAGCCGCCGCGGUAAAACCAGCACCUCAAGUGGUCAGGAUGAUUAUUGGGCCUAAAGCAUCCGUAGCCUGCUUUGUAAGUUUUCGGUUAAAUCCAUACGCUCAACGUAUGGGCUGCCGGGAAUACUGCAAAGCUAGGGAGUGGGAGAGGUAGACGGUACUCGGUAGGAAGGGGUAAAAUCCUUUGAUCUAUUGAUGACCACCUGUGGCGAAGGCGGUCUACCAGAACACGUCCGACGGUGAGGGAUGAAAGCUGGGGGAGCAAACCGGAUUAGAUACCCGGGUAGUCCCAGCUGUAAACUAUGCAAACUCAGUGAUGCAUUGGCUUGAUGCCAAUGCAGUGCUGCAGGGAAGCCGUUAAGUUUGCCGCCUGGGAAGUACGUACGCAAGUAUGAAACUUAAAGGAAUUGGCGGGGGAGCACCACAAGGGGUGAAGCCUGCGGUUC
rnacentral:rRNA from 1 species